rnacentral:rRNA from 1 species
ACGGGAGGCAGCAGUGGGGAAUCUUCCGCAAUGGGCGCAAGCCUGACGGAGCAACGCCGCGUGAGUGAAGAAGGUCUUCGGAUCGUAAAGCUCUGUUGAGAGGGACGAGAGAUAAUGUCAGGCAAUGGGCAUUAGAGGACGGUACCUUUCGAGGAAGCCACGGCUAACUACGUGCCAGCAGCCGCGGUAAUACGUAGGUGGCGAGCGUUGUUCGGAAUUAUUGGGCGUAAAGGGCAUGUAGGCGGUUUUGCAAGCUUGGUGUGAAAUCCCGGAGCUUAACUCCGGAAUUGCGUUGAGAACUGCAUAACUAGAGUCACUGAGGGGCAAUCAGAAUUCCAGGUGUAGGGGUGAAAUCUGUAGAUAUCUGGAAGAAUACCAAUGGCGAAGGCAGGUUACCAGCAGAUGACUGACGCUGAGGUGCGAAGGUGCGGGGAGCAAACAGGAUUAGAUACCCUGGUA